rnacentral:rRNA from 1 species
AUGGCGCUCCCUCCUCCCUUGCUCCCGCGCUCUUCCUGUAUUUGCAGAGGCGUCACCAAAGUCACCCCAUACAAAUCCGUGGAAAACAUACCGGAUGCCUCCACCGCCCCCUCCGCCACAGCGCAGCACUCGCUGCUUCGCGCCCAUACUCGCGCCGGCCGAAUGCAGCCCGCGCGGCAGGUGUUCGAGGCAAUGCCGCCGCGGGACAGGUCCCUCGUCGCUUGGACUGCUAUCAUGUCCGGGUACGCCACCCACGGCCCCCCCUCCGAGGCGCUGGUCCUGCUCCUGCGCAUGAUGGAGCGGUCACUGAGGCCGGACGGGUUCGUCUUCUCAGUCGUGCUGCGCGCCUGCGCGGCAGUCGGGAACCUCAGAUUUGGAAGGCAGGUCCACUGCGCCGCUGCGAAGAUGGGCUACGUAGAUUCUGACCUCUUUGUGGCAAACGGCCUCCUUACCAUGUACGCGAGCUGCCAGUCGCUGGGUUGCGCUGAGAAGGUGUUCGAUGGCAUUGCCGCACCUGAUUUGGUCUCUUGGACCUCCAUGCUCAGCGGCUACACUGAGAAUGGCUGCCAUACCGAGGCGCUAAUGUUGUUCGUGGAAAUGAUCCAUGCCAGUAUUGGCUGUGACGCGUUCACUCUGUCAGUUGCACUCAGGGCAGCUUCUAGUUUGGCCAAUCGAAGUUUGGGACACCAGCUGCAUUGCUGCAUCAUCAAGUCAGGAUUCUCUAAAAGCGGGUUCUUGGAGAACUGCCUGAUUGAGUUCUAUGGGAAGUCCAGGGAACUACAGCUGAUGCAGAAGGUGUUUGAUGAUAUGCAUGACAAGGAUUUGGUUUCUUCCAAUAGCAUCAUCCAGUGCUAUGCAGAUAACAUGUGUGAUGAUCAGGCUUUGUCUCACUUCCGUGCUAUGAUGUUUGAAUGCUCGGAAUGCGAUGAGUUUACAUUGGGUAGCAUUUUGCAUGUUGUCACCAGAAGAGGAGCUUUUGGUUAUGGAAGGGAAAUACAUGGCUACCUCAUUAGAGCAGGCCUAGACUCAGAUAAGCAUGUUAUGAGUGCUCUGAUGGAUAUGUAUGUCAAUUGGGCUACUCUUCAUAAGGGACAAUGUAUGCUACCUUUGAGAAUGCUAAGAUACUAUUUGCUGGUCCAGGGAAAGCUGGAUCACUUUAUUGUGGCCACUAGUUUGAGGUUGUGCGCUUUUGAUCAAGAUUUAGCAACAGGAAGGAUGUUACACGCCUAUGUUUUGAAGUUCAACAUGAAUUCAGAUCCCUUUGUCACUAGUUCUCUGGUCGACAUGUAUGCUAAAUGCGGUUCUGUGGAUGAAUCACAUGUUCUCUUUUCAAGAACCAAGGAUCCAGGGACAGCCGCAUGGACUGCGGUAAUCUCAGGCAACUGUUUGAAUGGUCAAUUUGAAAGAGCAAUGCAUUUGUUCAGGAGGAUGCAGUUGGAGCUUGUGCAACCUAACGAGUUCACUUAUACCUCUGUACUUACAGCAUGUGUGGCUCUUGGGGAUGUUGUAGGUGGCAUGGAGAUCCAGGGCAACUCCAUCAGAACUGGUUAUGGAACCAAUGCUUCUGUUGUGAAAAGUCUUAUAAGCUUUUACUUAAGAGAAGGGCAGUUCAAGCAGGCCCUUAAGCUUUGCUUAUCACUCUCAAACCGUGAGAUUUCUUGGGAAGCACUGGUUAAAGAUUUUGCUCAAGGUGGUGAUCACGUUGGAGUACUUAAUCUUUUGUGUGUUAUCCAACGUUCUGGUGGGGUUCUUGAUUAUCCAACUGCAUUACACAUCUUGAAUUCUUGUGGAAAAUUGGAACUCCUUCAUGAAGGGCUUCAAGCACAUGCCUACCUUACAAAGCGUGGCCUUGCUUCUGAACCAUGCAUCAGCAAUCACCUUAUUGACAUGUACUCCAAUUGCGGCAGUCUCAAAAAUGCAUUGGAUGCCUUCAGAUAUAUGUCUGACAAGAGUGCAUCUACUUGGACCUCAAUAAUCAUAGCUCAUCUAGAAAAUGGCUGUCCAGAGACAGCCAUUGACUUGUUUGUGCAGAUGUUAAGAAGAGAGAAAAUACCAACUUCGAUUGCAUUCUUAUCUGUGCUGAAGGCCUGUGCAGAAAUCGGCCUUGUAAGUGAAGCCUUCCAGUUCUUUGUGUCCAUGACCGAGGUCUACAAAAUAGAACCUUCAGAAGGUCAUUACAAGCAUAUGAUUGAGGUUUUGGGUCAUUCUGGUAUGUUCAAGGAAGCAGAGCAUUUCAUUGAUAGUGUGGUCCCUUCGGAAUCUAGUGCUUCAGCCUGGAUUUUACUUUGUUCUGCUGCCAAACAAAAUGGAAACACCAAAAUCAUGAAGCUUGCAAUGGACAAACUCGCAAGCCUUGCUCCAUGUGAUUGUCGAGCAAAUGCUUCACUGGGAAAUGUCAUCCCCAUCACUGACUAG